rnacentral:tRNA from 1 species
GGAGAGGUGGCCGAGUUGGUCUAAGGCGCAGCACUGGAAAUGCUGUGUGCUCUUACGGGCACCGGGGGUUCGAAUCCAUCCCUCUCCGCCA